ACGACAGCGCCGCCCUGAGAUCAGCAGGAGCGCACACCUGAAGAUCCGGCUCCAGAACCCCCAGAACUGGAGGAUGUCAGAUGGGACUGUGUGAAGCUGCAGAGAGCAGGCUGAAACUCGGAAUUUGUCUGCAUGUCUUCAUCUAAUGGGAUCUACGAAGCCUCCCCCUGGCAUGAUUCCCAAAAUGUAAUACUUCUAUUCACCAGCUGACUCCAGGCCAAUUCUGUUAACUCAUUGUGUAUCAUCAUCUUACUGCUUCAAGUAAUGGCGCAACAGCUCAAGAGGUUUUCUAAACUUUUCCUCACACCAGGGUCACGCAGUUGGAUAUUCAUUAAGCCAAGCAGGAACCUGGUGCUGAAGGGAUUUUACUUGUUAGAUAUGAUUUAUGGCAGCAGUCUGACCUCCUGCUGCUGGAUUCAGUCACACGCACUCUAAUCAUUUGAUUAUAACCAGAGGAAAGCAAUGCUGCAAGUCUGACUUAUUGGACUUGCGUGACGAUUCAACUGUAAUUAAAGGAACAUGGAUUUGCAUUUGUCGAUGUUUCAGACGACUCUUGGAUUAUAGUCUGGUUUCUUCGUGUGUUUUGAUUCUUUGUCACAAAAGAGAUGCAAAGCAAGAUGUGAAAAACAGACCAGCGUGGCAAGUUGUGGGAAACUUUAGGGUUUAACAGUGAAAUUGAUAAGAAUGUGACACUACAAUAAUGUGCUCCGUGAAGUCAUAAAUGCCAGAAACAAUAAAAAGCAACAAAAUUCCUUCA